CAACAAAACAGGAAACCGGCAGUUGACUAAAACCCAGAAAGCUGUAAAACCUCUAAGAAUUCGAAAACCAGCCUUCCACCUUGAAUCGCCAUUACUGCUGCUUUUUUUUUUGCCCAAAUUAUUUUCAACGCCCCUCGCCUCCGAAAACCCAGGAAAGAAAUCCCACCAAAACAUAAGUUCUUAAGUUUAUGGUCGCCUAAAAGAUAAGAAUCUUGGGGAGCUGUUGGCGUUUAGGAGAUUGCAGUGGACAUUCUUGUUGCUACAAAAUUACAACUUGACUAAUUUUCAAGAGGUUAAGUUAUCUUACCAUUGGCUGCAUGCAUCUGUAAAAUGACAACGAGAAUGGAGUGCCACGUAUGUGGUAAUUUUAGCUUCAAGGAUGGUGGCGAUGGCUUCUAUUAUUGCAGCGUCUGCAGCUCACAAGCUGAUGAUAUUGUUGACACUGGUGUUGAUGACGAGGACCUCUUUGGCAACAAAAUCUACAGUCAGACUGCCCAUCGUUCCCAGCCCACAACUGCUGCUGCAGCCGAGGACAUUUCUCAAUUUAAACAAACACAAUCCCAGCAAAAUUUGCUUCAAGACUUGGUGGUGGAUGCCGAUACUGAUGCAGGAGAUGGAGUUGGGCCUACUGGGCCUAGUGAUUUUGGGUCAUAUCCCGAGAAUUUAAGCUAUGAUGACUAUUAUUCAGAGAUAAGGUCAAGGUAUUUGAUGGGGUAUCAGAUAUUGAUCCAGUUGCAGUGUAAGGCUUUGGUUGAGAAGUUCAAAGUCAGCCCAUUGAUCAUUGGUCUGGUGGGACCAAUAUGGUUAAGAUAUUUAGCUUUCACAAGGAUAAUGGCUGAUGACUGGGCAGAUCAGGUUAUUCAUGAAUCAGAGUCUCAAAAACAAGGGGAUGCUGCUGAUUUUCAUCCUUCCGCUAAACAAAGUAAAGAGCCACACAAUAUAUUUGGACAGAGGGCUGUUACAUUAUGGCAUAUAUCCCUCCGCAGAACAAUCCCAUUAUCUCAUUCUUUGGCUAUAAAUUUUCUUGUUUGUCUUCUGGCAAGAGAGGCAAUCUUGCCAACAGAUAUACUAAAAUGGAUUCUUGAAGGAAAACUUCCAUAUUUUGCCGCUUUUGUUGAAAUUGAGAAACAACUUGGACCUCCUCCUAGUGCCUGUCCUAUCAGUUCUAGUCAUAUGUUUAGACCUAAAACAACUAUGUCAGCUCAGAAGUUGGAGGCACUGGCAGGGUCUAUUGCUCAAAAAAUAAAUCUAGAAUUGCCUCCAGUGAAUUUCUAUGGUAUAGCUUCCCGCUUUGUUGGGCAGUUAUCUAUUCCUGUCAAAAGCAUUCUCCAACAGGCAUUUCGAAUAUAUGAGUGGUCUAUGCCUCCUGAGUUGUAUAUAUCAGCAAACAUUUUAAGGCUACCUACACGCAUAUGGGUGAUGUCUAUACUGAUAGUGGCAAUAAGAAUUCUCUAUAAUUUAAAUGGUUCUGGAAAGUGGGAAAAGAGUUUGUCUAGUUCCAGGAGCUCAUCAUCAUUGGCUGGUAAGGAUGGAAAACAACCUACACAUGCCACUAAUAUGACUGAUGAUGCUGAGAAGGACUUGUCAUCACAUGAUUUGUGCCUUCGUGACAAUGCAUCAGAUGAUGAGGAAUUUGAAUUGGAUGCUGUAGACCUUCUAAAGAUUCUUGAAACUAAGUAUGACAAUCUCAGAGAUACAUAUGAUUAUUCAAAAGGUUUGACAUCAUAUCUGCAACACUGUAAGGAUGUGGUGUUUGCUGGUUCAGGACAAUCCUUUGAGGAUUAUGAAGAAGAAAAGAUAAUAGAGGAUUUAUGGGAGUUUUAUCAGAAUAAGGGUGUUGAAUGUCUGGAAGAUCAAGAAAUGAACUCAUUUCAAGAUAGUGGUUUGCACCAAAAGAGAUCCAUGGACGACAUGAGAAACAUACAAAUAAAAAACAAAGAGUGUCGAUACUGCAAGAACAACCUAUCAGAAGAUGGCUCACAAUAUAGUAUGGAUGAGAAGAACUAUUCUUCCAGGUUUGAAGAUUCAUCCCAUGAAGGUCGAUCUUCAAUGGAGUCCCGCAAGGUUAAAGCAAUAAGAGAACUGAAAUUAGAUAUGGAAACGAACAGAUUUGCCUAUAUUCCUCCUAGGCAAGUAAUUAUGAGUCAAAGAUACAUCAGUUAUAAUAGGAGAAGAAUAGAAGGUGCUUUUGUUUAUGCUGCCCAUGCAGACUAUUAUAUCUUACUUCGUGCCUGUGCAAGGGUAGCCCAAGUUGAUGUUAGAAGCCUGCACAUAGGUGUAUUGGAGUUUGAAAAGAGAUUGAAGCAACUGGAAGAGAAAAUGGGCAAAUGCUUGCAUCUGAAAAUACCCAGCGGCAGUUCUGGUUUCUGUGCUAAUGAAGAUGAUUAAAGUCCUACGAAUGACUGAACUAUUUUUGAAGUAACAGGAUGUCCGUUGGUGUUCUCUCAUCACUUUUCCCCAAGAAAUUGAACUACUGGAAACUCAUCCUUUGUAUGGGAAGCCCAAAAAGUAUGUCUUUGCUUGUGGAAACAUUGACUAGCACCUGAAUAUGUAAAUAGACCGGUGAACUACUGCAAUUUUGCUAGCUACAUAACCCAGACUGAUUCUCAAGUAUGGCAUGCUGCUAUGUGAUACAAGUUUUAAUAGCUAUGAGCAUUCAGGGUGAUAUCAGCUUUACUGUGAAUAGUAAAGGAGAAAGGUCAAUAGUCUAACAGGAGAAACUGAAAUGCGCUGCUUUUUUGUCACUUAUGGGUGGAAAAGACCCAAGUCUUUGCAGGCCUGUGUACUUACCUACCCUCGAAGUUGCAAGUACAGAGCUCUUGGCAGGUCUCAUUUGGAACUUGCCAUCACAAUGCACCAAUCGAAAGCAUCCUUGAAGUAUGCAGGUUCUUCAGAGAAGCUCUGCUUGGUCACAAUGUGUGCAUGUAUCUCGAAAACAUGUUGUGGAGAAAUUUUUGGACAGGGGUUUGGAGGCAAAACUGUGGAAACCACAUUUAGCAUAUGUCUAGUUUGAGAAGAAACAUCUUUAAAAUAGGACGUUACUGACGUUUGAUUAAUGAACUUACCUCUAUAUGGCAUAUACUGCAUAGAGUAAGGAAUGCCGGACCUCAGACAGUAAUGAGCUACCUACAUGCUAAAUACCAGUAAUGGUUCUGGAUUAUGCAGUGGUUUGAGAACUAGUGAUUUUUACACAACAUGCCAUAACCAUUUCUAUAAAUUCACAUGCUGAACGGUUUUGCUAGAAACGGUUGGUGCAUAAAACAUACCGGUUGAAACCCUGUGCAUUGUAGAGAUGAAGGAUUAAAAAAACCGAGACAUUGAAGUUCAACCAUGUUGCUAAUAGUUCUUUGUGUUAUCAAGAGCAGUCUUGAAGCCUUGUGCAUUUUAGAGAUGAGGAUUGCAAAACGGGAUAUUUGUUUCCUAUUUCGUAUUGUACUUCAUGUCAAAUUUUCAUUUACGCUUUGAUGGU